rnacentral:rRNA from 1 species
UACGUAGGUGGCGAGCGUUAUCCGGAAUUAUUGGGCGUAAAGAGCGCGCAGGUGGCUGAUUAAGUCUGAUGUGAAAGCCCACGGCUUAACCGUGGAGGGUCAUUGGAAACUGGUCAACUUGAGUGCAGAAGAGGGAAGUGGAAUUCCAUGUGUAGCGGUGAAAUGCGUAGAGAUAUGGAGGAACACCAGUGGCGAAGGCGGCUUCCUGGUCUGUAACUGACACUGAGGCGCGAAAGCGUGGGGAGCAAACAGGAUUAGA